UGGGGAAUAUUGCACAAUGGGCGCAAGCCUGAUGCAGCCAUGCCGCGUGUGUGAAGAAGGCCUUCGGGUUGUAAAGCACUUUCAGCGGGGAGGAAGGCGGUGAGGUUAAUAACCUCACCGAUUGACGUUACCCGCAGAAGAAGCACCGGCUAACUCCGUGCCAGCAGCCGCGGUAAUACGGAGGGUGCAAGCGUUAAUCGGAAUUACUGGGCGUAAAGCGCACGCAGGCGGUCUGUCAAGUCGGAUGUGAAAUCCCCGGGCUCAACCUGGGAACUGCAUUCGAAACUGGCAGGCUAGAGUCUUGUAGAGGUGGGUAGAAUUCCAGGUGUAGCGGUGAAAUGCGUAGAGAUCUGGAGGAAUACCGGUGGCGAAGGCGGCCCCCUGGACAAAGACUGACGCUCAGGUGCGAAAGCGUGGGGAGCAAACAGG
rnacentral:rRNA from 1 species